ensembl:misc_RNA
UAGAGGCGGCGGAGACAGGAAUGGAGCCAAGGCAGCGGAGGCGGGAGGUGGGAGGGAAACCAGCCA